rnacentral:lncRNA from 1 species
CUGGUGGGAAGUGAUUGAAUUAUGGGGGCAGAUCUUUCCUGUGCAGUUCUCAUGAUAGUGAAUGAGUCUCAUGAGAUCUGAUGGUUUUAAAAAGAGGAGAUUCCCUGCACAAGCUCUCUUUUUGCCUGCCACCAUCCAUGUAAGAUGUGACUUGCUCCUCCUUGCCUUCUGCCAUGAUUGUGAGGCCUCCCCAGCCACUUGGAACUGAAGCAAACACUGCUAUUGCCACCUUUUUGCAGAGGAAGGUACUGAGGUGAAGCGACUUGCCCAAACCCUACAAAAAUAACUGGCCAUUGCAUCAACAGCAGUGUCAAGAGCAUCAUAGCAUCGGAUGAUGAUGGACAGAUGCCUCUGCUGCAGAGUUAUGCCCCCGCCCCAACACUCAAUUGGCAAUCAUCUGGGGAAGUCUGUCACAAUGGUCCCUGUCCACCUUUCUUUUAGUGGUUUCAGCAUCUGUCAAAGGUUCUUAUUUGAAUUUCCAUCCUAUCAAGGGCUGCAAAAUGGUGACUUUCUGACCGUAUUAUUGCAUCUACAUUCACAGCUGACAUUCUUCAAUAAAGAAAAGUUUUCCUUCAUCAAGUAGAACUAUUUAGUUAUGCUGAAAUUCAGUAUCUUCUAGAAAGACAUUAAAUCUUUAAUUAUUUUUAAUUCUCAAUUCUCAGAAUAACCAAUUCAUGUAAUAAUCACCUCCAGUGAUGGCAAAUGAGUUUUGUUUUGGAAGACAUUCUCUUUUCUAGUUAUGUACUUGCGGAGUUUUAUAUAUUCAUAGUCAUUUUUAAAUGCUCAGGUUGUCUCACACUUGCCACUGUAUACUCUUCAACUAGAAUGCUACUUAACCCAGAUUAAAAUCCACGUUUCCCGUGUAGUAACUGAGUGACUCUUGCUUCUGUGCCUCUGUCUCUCAGAAAUAAAACUGGAAUUCAAAAUUCUAUAGAGCUUAUAAGAUGGUUGUAGUAAUUAAAUGAGACAGGUCAGCUACCAGGCUUAGCGAAGGCCAUAAACAAAGAAAGAAUGUGACAAAUGUUAGUUGCUCCUAUUUUCAUAUCAUCACCAUCUAAUGCUAAGUCUUCACUAGGGAAGGAAUUAGGGUCUGGAGAUGCGGUGGUAAAGGGAAGAGCAAGGGUCUCAAAUGCUUUAGAGAGAAGAUUCUCACCCAGAACAGUGACACAUGAGGGCUUUGCAGGGCCAGGAACAGGUAAAGAAACUAGGAACCUGGUGAAGGGAAGAAGGCAGGAGGCAGAAUAAAAUAUUCCUGGAAAAAAAUUAUUUUUGUUUGUUUCACAGUUUUCUCAGGGCCUAUUCUAUUCCAAGAUAUCGAAAAGAAUGCUGGUGAAACUAGAGCUAAGUGGCUGUCUCAGAACCUACCAGAGUAGAGAGGUCAGGUCAUUUCUAGGCUUCAGGUGGCUUGUCCACCUGUCCUGCCAGCCCAGUCUCAGUUUGGGCAUUAGCUGAUGGGCUAAGCUGCUUGUUUCAUGCUGGUCUGUAAGAAGAGCUUACAAGUGGGAAGACAAGUUCAGCAUCAUCUUCAAAUGACAAUGGUCAUAUGAAAUACUAAAGAUAGUUUCCUGUAAAAACCUCCCACAGAAACGAAAAGUUUUUAAAUAAAACAUGUCAUCCAAAAUUGUAAAGUGAGAAAGAUUGUUUUCAUCUCAUGUCUUUGAAUUGUAUUGUGAGAGGUAUUGGUCUUCUUCCACCAAUCCAAAGUUAAGGACAAAUAAAUUUCAUUGUAUCGGAAACUUUGGAGGAAAAAUUUGAUGCUAUUAUUUUCCUUCCAUGGAAAUUUUAUUCUGGGGAUAUAUUUCCGUAGCAAAUGCAUAGUAGUUGCCAAAGAAACAAGUUAAUAGUAGGCUUGAUAAGAGGGAUUUCUUAAAAUGAAGAGCCGUUUUAUCCUCCCCACCAUGUCUUUCCCUUUCAG